UACGGGGGGGAGCAAGCGUUGUUCGGAUUUACUGGGCGUAAAGGGCGCGUAGGCGGUCGUGACAAGUCACUUGUGAAAUCUCCGGGCUUAACUCGGAACGGUCAAGUGAUACUGUCGGACUAGAGUACAGAAGGGGCAACUGGAAUUCUCGGUGUAGCGGUGAAAUGCGUAGAUAUCGGGAGGAACACCAGUGGCGAAGGCGACUUCCUGGCCUGUUCUUGACGCUGAGGCGCGAAAGCUAGGGGAGCAAACGGG
rnacentral:rRNA from 1 species